rnacentral:lncRNA from 1 species
CGGAGUUCCCCAACGUUAUCAUCACCCUCACUGUUCUAGAGUCAUGAAAGAUCAAUGGUUGUGAAACCUGGAACUUGCAACAGCACUCUAAUGAGUUGCUGACCAGAGAUGAAUGUAAUGAUGAGAUUACCUGGGAGCAUAAAUUGGUACCUGAUGUUCUGGAGGUGAAGCCAAGCUGGUGGAGUAAUCCAGAGUAUCUCUGCGGCCCCAUGAGAAUCCUCUCUGACCAAGAUUAAAAUAUCACCAUGAAACAAAUAAAGGAGUAAAAGAA